GAUCCAACCUUGAUCAAAUUUCACAUGUAGGCUCCCUUAAGCAUGAAUUUUGAGAUUCCACUCUCAAAAUGUCAGGAGUUGACUUUUCUGGCCCCAAUUUCCAAUUCCUGAUUAAAUGAUGAAUCCAAGAUCCAACCUUGAUCAAAUUUCACAUGUAGGCUCCCUUAAGCAUGAAUUUUGAGAUUCCACUCUCAAAAUGUCAGGAGUUGA
rnacentral:lncRNA from 1 species